rnacentral:rRNA from 1 species
GAUGAACGCUGGCGGCGUGCCUAAUACAUGCAAGUCGAGCGAACGGACGAGGAGCUUGCUUCUCUGAUGUUAGCGGCGGACGGGUGAGUAACACGUGGAUAACCUACCUAUAAGACUGGGAUAACUUCGGGAAACCGGAGCUAAUACCGGAUGAUAUUUUGAACCGCAUGGUUCAAUAGUGAAAGACGGUCUUGCUGUCACUUAUAGAUGGAUCCGCGCUGCAUUAGCUAGUUGGUAAGGUAACGGCUUACCAAGGCAACGAUGCAUAGCCGACCUGAGAGGGUGAUCGGCCACACUGGAACUGAGACACGGUCCAGACUCCUACGGGAGGCAGCAGUAGGGAAUCUUCCGCAAUGGGCGAAAGCCUGACGGAGCAACGCCGCGUGAGUGAUGAAGGUCUUCGGAUCGUAAAACUCUGUUAUUAGGGAAGAACAUAUGUGUAAGUAACUAUGCACAUCUUGACGGUACCUAAUCAGAAAGCCACGGCUAACUACGUG